UUCCUUCGCAAGAACUUGCAGGCGGCACAGGGUGAAUUGUAUGAGCUGGAUGAAGCCAUUUGUCACUGCACCAAACCCAUAUUCAACCAUGUUUGAUUUGUAAGCUAGAUUUUUUUCUUACAUAAUUCAACAUUUUUUUAGUAAAUAAAUUCACAUAUUUAUUAAAUAAGUAAGAAACAUGUAUUAUUAUUAUAGCAAAAAAGUAAGAAUACAAAUGGGAGUACAGCCAAGUUAAAUCCACAAGCUCUACAACGAGAUAUACAAAAUAUUCGAUUACUUGGUUAAAUAUAAUAUAUAUAUAAGUAUUUCGUAUAUUUAGAAAAUCAACUGCAUAUGAUCACAUGUUUUUACUUGUUUGGUUUUUUUUUUUUUUGUUUAAAUUAAUUUUACUCCCUGGAGUCAUCUGCAAAACUUUUAUCAGUACUAGGGUUACCCCUGAAUGAAUCUGCUUUAGUAGCACAGAUCCAUAUAUCCUGAAAUUUUGAUUUUUAAAGAAGGUAGGUUUGAUCAAUUAUCAUUCCAUACCCAGUCUGCAGUUCAAAUUCUCUCUCUUUUCUUUAAUCUCACAAAUAGCGGCCCCUACACAGAAAAAGAUGAAAACAACAAAAACCUUCAGAUCAUAAUUUACAUGCACACACUCACAUAUAUAUACACACAUAAAUAUACACAUGCUAACAUCUUGGAAUUUAUUUCCCUUUGCUUGUUUUAUAGCAACUUCCGUUUCCUUCUCUUUCUUCUGUCACCCUAUCUUCUUUCUUUCUUGAUUUGAUUAAAGAAAGGGGAAAGAAGAAAAGAAAGAAAUUUUUUAAUUUCUUUCAUUUCAUGAUGAUUGCAGUACUCCAAAAACAUUAAGUUUCUGCAUGUGUGCACUUCAAAUUAAUGAGUUGCCAAUUUUGUCUUUUGUAUAAUUCAUUUGGUUUUCCUGUACAGCUCUCUUCUCCAACUAGAUUUUCAUAUAUAGGCCCAGAAAUUGGAGAAGUCUCAACCAAAUCCCUACGGAAAUCCGCUGAAUAAUAUGAGAUCUGGAUGAUGAAGAUAAUUGACGUUAUGUAUAAUGAUCAACAUCGAGGGUACAUCCAAGUAGGUCUGAGAAAGCCCUAAGAAUUAGAGGGUUUGAACUCAAAGGCUCUUAGCAUCUAUUUAGGCUUUAGUUUUAUAACAGAAGAAAGUAAAUAAAAAGAGACAAAAACAAGAAAAAAUAAAUACAGGAGAAUAUAUAUAGUUAAAAUUAAGAUCACUAGAAAAGGAAACUAAAAAGGGGUUACACAUGUUUACCU
rnacentral:lncRNA from 1 species